UACGUAGGGUGCAAGCGUUGUCCGGAAUUAUUGGGCGUAAAGAGCUCGUAGGCGGUCUGUCGCGUCGGCUGUGAAAACCUGGGGCUUAACUCCGGGCCUGCAGCCGAUACGGGCAGACUAGAGUUCGGCAGGGGAGACUGGAAUUCCUGGUGUAGCGGUGAAAUGCGCAGAUAUCAGGAGGAACACCGGUGGCGAAGGCGGGUCUCUGGACAGAUCCUGACGCUGAGGCACGAAGGUCAGGGGAGCAAACGGG
rnacentral:rRNA from 1 species